rnacentral:rRNA from 1 species
UAUCUCUGUAGAGUCUGCAUAUCAAUAAGCGGAGGAAAAGAAACUAACAAGGAUUCCCUUAGUAACGGCGAGUGAAGCGGGAAGAGCUCAAAUUUGAAAUCUUCAAGGUUUCUACCUUGACGAAUUGUAGUUUAAAGAAGUGUUUUCUGUUGGUAGUUUUGGUAAAAGUUCUUUGGAAUAGGACAUCAUAGAGGGUGAGAAUCCCGUAUUUGACCAUUACUUCCAGCGUUGUGAUACACUUUCAAAGAGUCGGAUUGUUUGGGAAUGCAGUCCAAAAUGGGUGGUAAAUUUCAUCUAAAGCUAAAUAUUGGCGAGGAGACCGAUAGCGAACAAGUACCGUGAGGGAAAGAUGAAAAGAACUUUGAAAAGAGAGUUAAACAGUACGUGAAAUUGUCUAAAGGGAAGCGUUUGACACCAGUGUUGUUUUCUCGAAAAUCAAUUAAAAAAAGUUGGAUUUUGUAUUGUUAAGACCUUAUCAGCUUACUGUACUCUUUUCUUGCUUUUUUUAAUGCACUUUUCGUUUAACAAGUCAACAUCAAUUUCUUUUGUUGUAAAAGAGUCAUUGGAAGGUGGCUUCCACUUCGGUGAAAGUGUUUAUAGCCUUUGGCUUCUGCAAUCGGAGAGAUUGAGGUCUGCAGCGUAGAUCCUUCGGGGCUAGAUACGUAGAUGCUAAGUUAUAGUUUUUUAUAGACAACUUGUUGACUAUAAUUAAUCAUGUAGCUUACUCGUUUGCGCUAUUUUACCUACGCUUAGGAUGUUGAUAGUCACAGCGUGUAC